rnacentral:rRNA from 1 species
AACGAACGCUGGCGGCGUGCUUAACACAUGCAAGUCGAACGAGAAGGGGAGCUUGCUCCCUGGAAAGUGGCGCACGGGUGAGUAACGCGUGGAUAAUCUACCUAAUGAUCUGGGAUAACAUUUCGAAAGGGGUGCUAAUACCGGAUAAGCCCACGAUGUCUUCGGACGAUGCGGGAAAAGGUGGGGACCUUCGGGCCUACCGUCAUUAGAUGAGUCCGCGUACCAUUAGCUAGUUGGUGGGGUAAUGGCCUACCAAGGCUACGAUGGUUAGCUGGUCUGAGAGGAUGAUCAGCCACACUGGAACUGAGACACGGUCCAGACUCCUACGGGAGGCAGCAGUGGGGAAUUUUGCGCAAUGGGGGAAACCCUGACGCAGCAACGCCGCGUGAGUGAUGAAGGCCUUCGGGUCGUAAAGCUCUGUCAGUGGGAAAGAAGUGAUUGUGAGCCAAUACCUCAUGAUCCUGACGGUACCCACAAAGGAAGCACCGGCUAACUCCGUGCCAGCAGCCGCGGUAAUACGGAGGGUGCAAGCGUUGUUCGGAUUUAUUGGGCGUAAAGCGCGUGUAGGCGGUCUUUUAAGUCUGAUGUGAAAGCCCCGGGCUCAACCUGGGAAGUGCAUUGGAUACUGGGAGACUUGAAUACGGGAGAGGGCAGUGGAAUUCCUAGUGUAGGAGUGAAAUCCGUAGAUAUUAGGAGGAACACCGGUGGCGAAGGCGGCUGCCUGGACCGAUAUUGACGCUGAGACGCGAAAGCGUGGGGAGCAAACAGGAUUAGAUACCCUGGUAGUCCACGCCGUAAACGAUGAGAACUAGGUGUUGCGGGUAUUGACCCCUGCAGUGCCGCAGCUAACGCAUUAAGUUCUCCGCCUGGGAAGUACGGUCGCAAGACUAA